UACAGGGGAGGCAAGCGUUGUUCGGAAUUACUGGGCGUAAAGGGUUCGUAGGUGGCCACUUAAGUCAGACGUGAAAUCCCUCAGCUUAACUGGGGAACUGCGUCUGAUACUGAGUGGCUUGAGUGCAGGAGAGGAAUGCGGAAUUCCAGGUGUAGCGGUGAAAUGCGUAGAUAUCUGGAGGAACACCGGUGGCGAAGGCGGCAUUCUGGACUGUAACUGACACUGAGGAACGAAAGCCAGGGGAGCAAACGGG
rnacentral:rRNA from 1 species